UUUUAUUUUCCUGCUGUGAAGCUGUUUGUAACUUUGUUUUAAAAAGAUGCUUUAAAAAUAAAAUGAAUCAUAUCAUGAUCAUAUCUGCCUCAGCUGACCCUGGACCCUCUACCUUUUUCUUUCACCUCAUAAUUUUUUUCCCCCUUCAUUUCUUUUUCUGAUGUGAGCAGAAACUCACUGUCACUGAACGCGUCUCUCGUCUUCACCAUUUUCUUUUUUUUUGCGGCGCGACUUCACGUGACGAGCGGAACGAGGCAAAUACCGCGAUGACGUCACGACGCAGGUGGUCGCAUGGUGCGGUCGACAGGUGAGCAAAGUUUGACGAAAGCGUGACGAAAGUUUGACGAGAGCGAGGGAAAGUCGGAGUAAUCUGUGCUCGCUGGCGGUUCUGGUGGCGGUUCUGUGUGUUCAGCACGCCGGACUCUGAUCCAGGAUCAUCGUUUUGGACGUGGACGUCGUCGCGAGGAUGAGGCCAGAACACCUGCGGCGUCCUCGGGUUGUUCCACCUGGACUGACCCGCUGUGAGGAGCCGGUGCUACCUGUCCCCCCCCGAGAGGGUGAAGGACGAGGCCCUGCAGGGAAACCGGACUCUCACCCAGAACCAGGUGGAUUAAUCUGCACUCCAGCGUCCCUGAGUGCAGCUACAGUGUGAGAGCGUCCCUCAUCACCUCACCGCUGCGUCUCCUCAGCUCACAUCCAUCCUCAGCGAUUCCUGAUAACGGCGCUCAUGCCAUCAGUCGACCCUCCUUCACCCGACUGAGGGCCGCAAUUAGCCGACAAAAGGUGGGCGAGGCUGCAGCGGAGGAGACGGAGAGAGGAGUUUGAUUCGGCGUUUACAGAGUCUGCAGCAAAAUGUGGAAGCCAGGAGAGUAAAUGUUCGAUUUGACGCUGCAGCACAACCCUUUCAUUCACUAUCCCUCUGCCUUCGACGGUCCAGAUAAGAUGGUGCCACCCUCAUCUUAACUCUGAGCCUUCAUUCAAACACAGAGGUCUGUCAGCGUGUUACUCAGGUAUCUCUCUGUGUUACAUCACGCAGCUGGUAGUGCAGUUCCAAGUGAGGCGAAUGCUCCAUGAGGAAUGGCCCGGAGAACGUGAGCGCUGAAGGUGUCCAACCUCCAAACUUCAGGCAUCGUGGGACAUGCCAGAACAACAUCUUCAGCAGGUCUGCAGCAGCGCCUGGGUGGGUCGUGUGUGUGUGUCAAGAGGCGUCCACAUGAGGUUUCCAAGCAGAACAUCUGGUUCUGAUCACAGUUAUUCACUUUAUUUAGCCUGUUAGUAUUGUGGUGGAUCAGCAUUGUAUUUACUGUGAAACAUUGUAUUUGAAAAAGAUUCCCAUCAGUGCAACAAACUAGUAAACAAUGAUUCACAUUACAACAGCGGCUCUCAUGAUGUCAGCGAUGAUUAAAAGGUGUCCACCAUCUCACUUUGCUGCUCAUUACAGAGUGAACCUGGAGUUUAACAGGCAGGUUUGAAAGGUUCGACUGUUGUGUUUGCAACACGAUGCUGUUUAUCCACUGACAGAGCGGCUGUCAGGCAUCUCAGAGUGACACGAGCGCCGGCACACUGUUAAAAACUCCAGCCAGACGCUUCCUGCAUUAAAAAUAAAACAAGCCGAUGUUUGACAAAGGGAUCUCUGUGUGAACAUCAAAGUGUGUGUGUGUGUGUGUGUGUGUGUGCGCUCACUUGAGUGUGAGGCCAUCAUGUGGUAAACAAGAGGCACAUCAUUAGCACACCAAUCACUACAGUGUCUCCCUCAGUACUCUUCUUGUUUGAGCUUGAACUGUUGCUCCGCACUGAAAACUGUUAUGAGCUGUGACAAAUUGUCAAGUUAAAAGUCAGACAGCGUGGGUGUGGACUCCUGGCAGCUAAGUAACUUUAUUUUAUCUCUCUGGAUGGGACACACCUGACAACAGCUAUUUGGUUUUGGCUGUUGGAGCUCUCUCUCUGCAUUAUGAGGUGCCGCUCUGCUCGCAGAUUGUGAGAGGCAGGGGUCGGUUCUAAUCCAUCCACCUACCGGAGCAGGACAAAAAAAACAAGUUUUCGAUUUCCACUUUUCACUGUGGUGUUACUGUUGGUGCAAAGACAAACUUGGCAACACGGCUAACGGACCAAAGGCUCAUUCAUGCUGCCUUUACACAUCUGUUUCAAACGAUACAACCAUCGCUGCAUGCAAACUUCCAUGCAGUUUUUCUUUGCCGUCGUCCAAAUCAGUUUUAAUUUCAUCCAAUUCUCUUCCCGGCUGUUUUGUUUGGACGGAGUAAUGUCAUACAUAGAGACCUGUGAUUUCCACGAUCACGGAAUCGCGGAAUUGGACGAUUAAAACAGAAUUUAUUUUUUUAUGUGGAAUAUUGCAGAAUUUGACAUAAUUUCACCAGAAUGUCAGAGGAAAACUGCGUGGAGGGAAGCAUAUCUGCACAUCUCCACAGACUGAGUAAAAAAUUGCAGUGGAAGUGAAAAUAUUGUCCAUUUCAAUUCAGUCAAAUUGAAUGCAUGUCAGUACAGCCACAUGAUAUAUUUUAUUAUAAUUGUUAUU